GCCAGGUGUGAUGGCACAUGCCUGAAGUCCCAGCUAUUCAGGUGGCUGAGGAGGGAGGAUCGCUUAACUCAGGAGUUUCAGGCUGUAGUGCGCUAUGCCAUUCAGGUGUCCACUUUAAGUUUGGCAUCAAUAUGGUGAUCUCCCAGGAGUAGAAGACCACCAGGCUGCCUAAGAAGGAAUGAACUGGUCCACGUCAAAACUCCUAUGCUGAUCGUAGUGGGAUUGCACCUAUGAAUAGCCACUGCCCUCCAGCCUAGGUAACAUAGCAAGAUCCCAUCU
rnacentral:SRP_RNA from 10 species